rnacentral:rRNA from 1 species
AGUGAACGCUGGCGGUAGGCCUAACACAUGCAAGUCGAACGGCAGCACAGUAAGAGCUUGCUCUUACGGGUGGCGAGUGGCGGACGGGUGAGGAAUACAUCGGAAUCUACUUUUUCGUGGGGGAUAACGUAGGGAAACUUACGCUAAUACCGCAUACGACCUACGGGUGAAAGCAGGGGAUCUUCGGACCUUGCGCGAUUGAAUGAGCCGAUGUCGGAUUAGCUAGUUGGCGGGGUAAAGGCCCACCAAGGCGACGAUCCGUAGCUGGUCUGAGAGGAUGAUCAGCCACGCUGGAACUGAGACACGGUCCAGACUCCUACGGGAGGCAGCAGUGGGGAAUAUUGGACAAUGGGCGCAAGCCUGAUCCAGCCAUACCGCGUGGGUGAAGAAGGCCUUCGGGUUGUAAAGCCCUUUUGUUGGGAAAAAAAAGCAGCAGGUUAAUACCCCGCUGUUCUGACGGUACCCAAAGAAUAAGCACCGGCUAACUUCGUG